AGGGUAUUCAUUUCGGCAGCCUGUAUACUAAAAUUGAAACAAUACAGAAAAGAUUAGCAUGGCCCCUGCGCAAGGAUGACAUGGAAAUUUGUAAAGUAUUCCAUAUUUUU
rnacentral:snRNA from 1 species